GGGUGCCUGGGUCGGGGGCUGCAGGUGGGAGUGAGCAAAUGUGCUGUCUCGCCACCUCGGGACAGGUGGUAGGGCCUCUGACACAGAGUGGUCCUUCCUGCUGUUCACAGCUCAGCUCACCGUGGGCUGACCAUAGGUAGGUGACAGUCCCCUUUCUGGCCUCGGUUUCCCUGUCUGUAAAUUGGGGAUAAUAAGCUCAAGAGCUGUCCCUGCCAGAACCCAGUGGACAGAAAUCCAGCAGCUGCUAUGGGAAGCGACCCGCCCAGCCUGCCCCGCCCUGCCUGGGGAAGCAGGCCUUCUGCUUGAGGGGGACUGGGCGCAUGCUGGGCCUCUGGUCUGCGCAGUCUGCCCGGGGUCUGUGAGUGCUUGUGAGUGGGCUUCUCCAGUCUCCAGGUAGGCUGGGUGCCCCCGGCCAGGUGGAGCCCAGGGGGGCAAAUAGGCUGGGGGCUGGCCUGGCCCCGGGUGGCACGGCCCAGGUGCUGGAGCAGCCUCACACUGUGGUCUCGUGUGUGUUCCCUGGACAGCAACACUGUGGCUGCGGGGUACAGCCCUGACCCCCUCAUGCCUUGCCCCCUGUGUCCUACCCACGACCCCUCCCCACUCCCUCCUCCCCGCCUCCACCUCCGCCUCUGCCUCAUCCUCAGCCUGUCUUAGCUCUGCACGGAAGCAGAGCGGGGGUUCCCGAGUCCUUGGGGCCAUGAUCCCCAGCGCACCCGAGUACCCCAGGAAUGCACGGGGCUCAGAGGAGGAAGCCUGGGAGCCUGGCCUGUAGCCGCUGCCGCGAGGGGAGGACGGACUUCCUGCUCCCUGGCAGGGCCCCUGCUGGUGGCUGGUGGCCAGCUCUGGGUUUGGGAUGAGGGCUGGGUCAUCUCUGGCCCCACGAUGCCCUCCCACUCAGGACCAGGCUCUUGGGAGGGGGUUGUGGUCAGCAUGGGCCACUCCAGCUCUGGCUGGCCUGGGAACUUCGUGGAGGCCCCUCCUCCGGCCACCUCCCUGUUCCUGGCUGGGCCCUUUGUGAGUGGGGUCUGCUUGCUGCUGGCGUGUGUUUUGUGUGUGCCUGUGUGGGGACUGUGUGCACGUGUGUGUGUGUGUGUGUGUGGGGAUACGAAUGUGUGUGCAUGUCUUACAUGUGUGUGCCUGUGUGUGCAUGUGUUGCACGUGUGUGUGUGCACAUGUGUGCGUGGACAUGUGUAGCUGCUUUGUGCUGUGGUCUGGAUGUUUUUUGUGUCUACCCCAGAUUCUCGUUGAAAUCCUAACGCCCCAGGCAAUGAUGUUAGGAGGCGGGGCUUCUGGGAGAUGGCAAGUUCGUGAGGCUGCAGCUCUGCUGGGGGAUCAGUGUCCUUCUACAAGCGGCUCCAGGGAGGUCCCUUGCCCCUUCCACCAUGUGAGGACCCGAGAUGGUGCCGUCUAUGAACCGGGAAGUGAGUCCUCUCCGGACGUGGAACAAGUUGGUGCCUUGAUUUUGAACUUGCAGCCUCCAGCUGCUGUCUAACACCACCGGCUCGACCUUGAGUUCCUCCCUGAGCAAAGCCAAGCGACCUCCUGGACUGAGCCAGUUUUCGUGCCUGCCUGCCCUGGCUCAUUGGCCAGGGACCCCACCCCGCCAUGUCCAGGCCUUGGUGAUACAGGACAGAGGUGCCCGUGCAGGUUGUGCCUGUGGCUGGGUCCCCAGGGAGAAGGUGGCAACCCCAGGCCAGCAGCCUCCUACCCUGAACUCCAGGCAACAUCGUCGGCCCCCUGGCACUGCACCUGCACUGUGGGCAGAGAAGGAGGGAAGGCUGGGAGAGGAGGAGGAGGUCGAAUGUCGCUGGAGGUCGGCGUCCUUCUGCAGCCGUGGCUUCAUGGGGUUUAAGUACGAUGAUGCUGCAUUGAGACGUUGUACUGUGUGAAGUCAGGGCCUUCUGUGCAUCGGUCGAGGGUGCAAUGCACACGGCACCCCCGAGCAGCCACCCAUCCUCCCUUCCCUCCACCCUGCGAGGCCCCGUUGUCCGUCUGUCCACACUCUGCUCCAUGAGCACACGUGACUUAGCUUCGCCUUGUGAGCCGCUGCUUGGGGUGAGCAUGCUUCCUGCUGGAUGCUUCUCUAUGUAAGCACCUGCCUGAGUGUCAGCCCUCUUAAGGUGAACCGCUCCGUGUCAUUCGUACAUUCACAAGUUUGUGCCGCCAUCAUCGUGAUCGGAUUCCAAAACAUUUUCAUCACCUCCAAGAAAGCCUUGUACCUGGCAGCAGUCACUGUCUCUAUGGAUUUGCUUAUUCUGGACAUUUCAUAAAAAUAGAAUCAAACAGCAUUUGGCUCUUCGUGUCUGGCCUGUUUCUCUGAGCACGAUAUUUCGAAGAUUCAGCUGGGUCUCGCUCCUGUUCCUGGCUGAAGCUGAAUAAUAUUCCAGUGCACGGCUGGACCACAGUCAUCAACUGACGGACACUUGGUGGUCUCACAUUUCCACUGGUGUGAAUAGUCCUGCUGUGAACAUGCGUGUGCGAGAUUUUGGUUGAACACUUGUCCUCAGUCCUCUUGGGGCAGUGCCAGCCUUGGCAGACGGGCCGGACAGAGGAGGGAUGAUGGCUCAGGCUGGCAGGGGCUGCCACGGGGCAGCGAUGGCCACCUCGAGCCUGGCCAGUGCUUCUGGACUUCCUCUCUGCUGACUUUGUUCCCUGGCUAGAAACAGUUGUGGCAGCGCUCCCAGACCGGGCGUCUGCACGGAGUGGCCUCAGCUUCCUUGAGCUGUGGGAAUUUAACG
rnacentral:lncRNA from 10 species